AUUAAUUUUAAUUAUAAUAUCAAUUUUUUCUUCUACCAUUACCACCCACUCCCCUACUCCACUACCCCUAGUCUCUCAGUCUUGUCUCCACCGUCGCUGUUGCUAUGUAAUCUCUCUCCACCGAGGCUGCAAUCUGUGACCUCAUUGCCGAUCUCCGCUCCUCUCCGCCGCUGUUGUGCUCUCUGCUCACUCAGUCUCGGUCGCUUCCUCUCUACUCUCUGGCCGCCGUUCUCGAUUUAUAUUUUGUUCCUUUUUUGAAUCUUGGACGCACUACAUUUCAAAUGCCUAACAACUUGUGAUACGUGCGCUGUGUAAAAGCAUUUGCUACAUCUUUACAGAUUGCAAUUACGCAACAAAUUUCUAUUAAUUUCACAAAAUGGAGUUGCUGGUUCCACUUGCAUUGCUUGUCAGCGUCUUCCUCGCUUUUCUUCUUUUGUCCCCGCGACAUCCCAAAUCUGGGAGUAAAGGAAAAUCAGCUCAGCCUAGCUUAAACAAUCAUAAGGCAUCAAAGUCGUACACUAAAUCUGAAGUCUCAACGCAUAACAAGAGAACAGAUUGUUGGAUAAUUAUCAAGAACAAGGUAUAUGAUGUUACCUCUUAUGUAGAGGAACAUCCAGGUGGUGAUGCCAUUCUAGCACAUGCUGGAGAUGAUUCAACUGAAGGGUUUUUUGGAGCACAAUGGCGUCGUUUGAUUCAUGUAGCCGACCCCACUUAGUGGGACAAGGCUUUGUUGUUGUUGUUGAUGGAGUUUUCUGACAAAGUAGCCAUAGGCCACAGCAUGCAACUCGAGUGUUUGACAUGAUUGAUGACUUUUACAUUGGAGAUUUGGAGCAAUAGUAGCUAUGUUAUUGAUUUAUGGUUUGUGAUAUUCAAGAGAGAUGUCGUUUGAGAUUUUUCAAUUUUUUAUUGCUUGUUACCCCCAAUGAGCAUAGUGUAGCUGAGAUAGUGAUGGCAUAGUAGCUAUAGGGGGAGAGGGAAACCUAAGAAGAUUUUGAAUGAGUUGAUAAGAAGAAAUUUGGGCUGAGUUCAAAUGUAAUUCAUGACAGGGCUUAAUGGCGUUGUUUUGUCCAUGUAGUUGACCUCAACUAGUGGGACAAGGUUUUGUUGUUUUUGUUGUUAUCCCCUUACAUUUUGCACUUUUUUGCCGAUCAAUUGUCUUUGUUAGUCAUUAAUUGAAGCAUUUGAACUGUGAAGUAAUCUUAGGCUUUGAUAUCAAUUGUGCAUUAAGUUGGAGAAAUUGAUUGAGAAACAAUGAAUAAGCAUGAGCCCAUAGGUAAGAUACUAAGAUGGAUCUUGUCAUCUUGGAGGAUGUGUAUAGAUUGCAAAGCCAUCAACAAAAUCAUUGUAAAUUGGAAUUAAGAUGAUUUAGUGUGUUAAAAAUGUAAAAUGUCAUUUUUACCCUUCAUUUAAAAACUACAUGUAGAGAUGUAUAGAUGAAUGAUGGAUCUGUUAUGUCUAUAGAUACAUAUACCUAAGUUAGAUGGAGGAUUAAUAAACAAUUAUAAUUAUAAUAGUAUAGUUUUCACUUUCACGCAACAAAUAACUUACAUACCUUAAAUAUUAUUUAUAUUUUAAAAUACCAAUCUUGACUGGUUUGUUUUCUUAGUUUGUACAUAUUUUUCAAAGUUUGAUUUUCUUAUGUUUUCUUGAAGAAAACUACUUUAGUUACAAGUUAUAGAUGAAGGGAUUCACUUAAUUAAAUAAGUUCUGGACAUUGUUCUAUUGGAUAACUUUUCCACUAAUCUAAUUGUUGAAUCUUAUUAUGGUUUUAUAAGGAAAUUUAAUAUCAUAUUAAGGGUUGAUUAAGGGUUCAUCUCUUACAGUAAUAUUUAUUAAGUGCAUUGUUUUCCUUUUUGUCUUCUUUCAAGCUUCACACAUGAUCCUCAUUAUUAAACAAUGGCAAACAGCAAAAAAGAAUGCUAUGAAAGUUUAUGCAGCUACAAAUGGAUGUGUAUGUUAUCUCACAUUGGUCAAUUACUCUCUUGAAUUCUUCUGUUUGUUUGCUUUUCUUUUUCUUUAAAUUCUUUUUAUUUAAAAAAUGUUUUCACAAAACUUUGGGCCACCAUAAUUUUGAUCAAAAUGCAAAAGCUUCAUGAA